UACGUAGGGUGCGAGCGUUAAUCGGAAUUACUGGGCGUAAAGCGUGCGCAGGCGGUUCGUUAAGUUCGUUGUGAAAGCCCCGGGCUCAACCUGGGAACUGCAGUGGAAACUGGCGGGCUUGAGUGUGGCAGAGGGGGGUGGAAUUCCAGGUGUAGCGGUGAAAUGCGUAGAUAUCUGGAGGAACACCGGUGGCGAAGGCGGCAUCCUGGACCGGUAUUGACGCUGAGGCGCGAAAGCUAGGGGAGCAAACGGG
rnacentral:rRNA from 1 species